rnacentral:rRNA from 1 species
UGUAUAGUUAAUCUGCCCUUUAGAGGGGAGUAACAGUUGGAAACGACUGCUAAUACCCCACUACUCCUUUUAUCUUAAUGAUAAUUGGGAAACGUUUUUCGUCUAAAGGAUGAGACUAUAUGGUAUCAGGUAGUUGGUGGGGUAAGAGCCUACCAAGCCAAUGACGCCUAGCUGGUCUGGGAGGAUGAUCAGCCACACUGGAACUGAGACACGGUCCAGACUCCUACGGGAGGCAGCAGUGGGGAAUAUUGCACAAUGGAGGAAACUCUGAUGCAGCAACGCCGCGUGGAGGAUGACGCAUUUCGGUGUGUAAACUCCUUUU